CGGCGCACAGAGGGAGGCGAGGCGGCGACGCCGAGCGAAGCCCGGAAAGCGCGCCCCAGUUCGGAUUGCAGCCUGCAACUCGGCUGCAUGAAGCCGGAAUCGCUAGUAAUCGCGGAUCAGAACGCCGCGGUGAAUACGUUCCCGGGUCUCGUACACACCGCCCGUCACACCAUGGGAGUCGGGAACGCCCGAAGUCGGCGACCCAACCGCAAGGAGGGAGCCGCCGAAGGCGGGCCCGGCGACUGGGGUGAAGUCGUAACAAGGUAUC
rnacentral:rRNA from 1 species